CAAGGGAAAAAGAAGGCAAAAGAAAAACUGCUCGGGGAGAAAGAACAACUGAGAUAUGUCUGGCAAGUUGAUUCAAGAAACAGUUGCCCGACCUCAAAACCUGGAUAAGUCUUCACCAAACUUGGUACAAAGACAAGUUCUUGCUAAAGACUGAGAAGUGAAAGGAAGAAGACCCAGGGGUCACACUGGAAUGCGCUACAAGUGUAGGCUUGUGAAACAACUCACUUGUCCUUCCCGGAGAAUGUUCCUCAGUAGUGGCAGAUGCUCUGGAGUGAGAUCUCGAAGUGAUCUGAUACCCCGGCGAUGGCAGAUGGCGAUCAAAUACAGGUCAUCAAGCUGUGCAGAGACCACAGGACAAAACAAGACAAUGCUAGUUUUAGCAAGGAGGCUACCAGCCAGAGCACUCCUACCCCCAAGGCCAAUCCAGAAGACCCUACAGCAGAACCAAUGAGCGGGUACCCGAGGUAUCUGUCUGCUCUGGAUGUCAAGGGAUAGCUGAAGAACAAGAUUUCUGUGUAUUCUUUGGAACUAGGUGUGGUGGUACACGCCUGUAAUCCCAGCACUCAAGCAGAAGGACUGAGGGUUCAAAGUCACUCUGGGCUAUACAGCAAGACCCUUUCAAAAAAGAAAUUGUGAAAGGAAGAAAAACUAUAAAACAAAAAUUUCCAUCUGGGAAUGUUUACAUAUACUAAGGAGUUGACAGGAAGAGACGGGCAAGUUCAGAAAGCCAAGCACAAAAGUCUUUGUCCUGAAGAAUUUACAACUUCACUUAAGUGCAUGUUGUUCUCCUGUAUGAAAUAAAUGUUGCAUAAAAGCA
ensembl:processed_transcript